AGAAGCACGGGCCGCGGCCGGUGGAGCUCAAAGGGGAGGGGAGAAGCGGCUGCCGGGAUCCCCUAAGGCGGGGGCGCCAUUUUACCGGGAGGGGCUGCGGCGCCUCCUGUUCCCGGCGGCCAAGGGGGAAGCGCCUCAGCCUCAGGCUAGAUCCCGGGAGGGGCUGGGCUCCCGUCCUUUCCCUCUGCUCGGCUGCGCUUCCGGGAACAGGGAAGGCGGCGGCCGGCGGGGUGAGUGCGGCGGCCGCGUUGCUGCUGCUGCGUUGCUGAAGGUUUUCUACAGGGAAGCCUGUGCCUGUGUUUUUUAGGGUUUUCUUGUUUGGCGGGUUUUUUUAGGAAGUAGAGCUGAAUGGCGUUGCUCUUACUGUGUUUUGUACUUUGUUUCUUUUUCUUCCCUCUUUCAUUCCCUAGUGACAUUCCCUAAACGCAGCUGCUUCUUGCCAGCUGGAGGUGCGGCGGGAGCGCCGGGAACACCGCGGGGUUGAGGCGUCUCCUGUGGGGCCAAGCCCAGGGCGGGGGCGGAAGAGGAACUCUUCACUCCAAGGAGGGCCAAACCUUUGGCUUUUUGCGCCUCAGCUUGCUGGGACCGUGUCAGGCUCCUCCCUGCCCGUCCCCGCCCCUGCAGAGGCACAGGGCAGGCCCCCGACGGCAGCGGGGCCAUGUCAUUCCCUGCGUGCCAGGGAGAGCUGCGAUGCCAAGGGCCAUCAGCAGGAGCUGUCCGCGCUCUCGCCCUGCAGCAGGCCAAGUCAUUCUGCUGACUUCUCCCAGCCUGGCUGGCAGGUUUAAAACCCAGUGUGCCCACGUAGAAGCAAGCUGCAGCUACCACUGAAGGUCUGUAGACUUAGAGAAGGUAAGAGUUGAUAAUUCUGCUAUUCUGAUGUCUAACUUUGCCUCUGGUGGUCCAAUAAAUGGAAAUUAUUUACUAUGUGAAGUCAAGAGAAACUUCUUUCAGGAAGUCCUGACAAAAAAGCUGUUGUGCCUGAUCACCUCAAAAGAUGUCACACUGUGUAGGCAUGGGAUUGAAAUUUAGAAGUAGCCUCUAAAUUAUUAAAAUAACUCAAAUGUGUAGUAUGGGAUCUCAGGUGCUUGUGGCACUAAGUCAGUCUCCAGUGAGCUGA
rnacentral:lncRNA from 14 species